UAUUGCCUACGGGGCGCAGCAGUGGGGAAUAUUGCACAAUGGGGGAAACCCUGAUGCCGCGACGCCGCGUGAAGGAAGAAGUAUUUCGGUAUGUAAACUUCUAUCAGCAGGGAAGAAAAUGACGGUACCUGACUAAGAAGCCCCGGCUAACUACGCGCCAGCAGCCGCGGUAAUACGUAGGGGGCAAGCGUUAUCCGGAUUUACUGGGUGUAAAGGGAGCGUAGGCGGUUUAGCAAGUCAGAAGUGAAAGCCCGGGGCUCAACUCCGGGACUGCUCUUGAAACUGUUGAACGAGAUUGCAG
rnacentral:rRNA from 1 species